UGCCGCCAUCCUCCUCCUCCUCCUCUUCCUCCCCUCCCGGGCUGCUCGGGGCGCGCCGGCGGGGCACGGCGCUGCGGGCAGGGCUCGGAGCCAGGCGAAGGGGCCGGGGGGGCGAUGGCGAGGGGUGUGCGAGCGAGUGCGGGCGUGUCGGUGCGUGCGGGUGUGUCGGUGCGUGCGGUGGAGCCGGGCCCGCCCGGCAGCACCUGCCUCUGGCCGCGGCGCCGGUGCGGGGCUUUCAGGGCGGCCGGCCGGGCUGCGUGAGCGGCUGUGAGACGGGCUGCCCCGGAGCCGGAGCCAGCCAGGGGGCCGUAGGAAGCGGCUCGAGGAGCGCCACCGAGGGACCGGAGCGGCCCGGCGGAGCCUGCGGCGGGCGGUGAGGCGCAUUACACGUUUAGUGUGAACGGCCUGUCAGGAAGCACCUGAAAAGGUUUUUUUUAAUAAUCCCUGCUGCGAGGGCUGGAGAAGAAGCCUCCAUAACCGGAAGGUCAACAGUGAAGGAAGACAUUCAUUCCUACCUUUAAAUAUGGCUUAAAUCAGGAAGAAAUGCAGUUUCUUUUUUUUUUGUACUUUGUUUUUACAGUGUACCCUAAUGUGGUGUGUUUCUGUGAGGCUUAAAGAGAGUGUGUGUCUGGUCAUAGUGGGAUUACAGUCACUUUAUUACAGUUCUGAAGGACUAAUCUUAGGCUCAUGUGUUCAGAGGUCUCUACUUUCCAUCAGAGUCCAGACUGGGUAGGAGUCUAGGACCGACUCCUUUCCUGUAAAUUGCAAGCUUAUCAUUCCUUCUUCUAAAAAUACAUGGAUUUAGAUUUUAACUUCUAAUGGUAUUGAUUAUUGAGUUAGAUAAGUAUCUAGAGAAGUAUUUCAAGUGCUACUGUUCUUGUGUUCUUAAAUUACAGCGAUUAUGAAAUAACUGCAACUUAAAACACUUUAUAGUUAGCUAUUUGACUGAUUCUGCAAAGAUGAAAUACCUCCCAGAUUUGGAAAUGUUAACAAAAACAACCACUCUUACAUUUUAAUAGUACUAUCACAUGAAAUUAUUAGUUAUUAUUAUUAGAGAAUUAUUAGUACGUAAUCUGGCAAAGAAUUAUUCUAUAUGAUCCAGUAUUCACGCAUGAUUAAUAUACUCUCAAGUUCACAUUGGAUUGCUUGUGGUUUUAUGGGAUUCAUUAACAGGAAAGAACAAAAUCCACUGCAAAGUUGGUACCACUAGUUUUAACUUUGUUACCCAGUACUUCUAAUUUUUACUCUGCUGCUGACAUUCCUAAUGUUAGUCUCAGAAUUAUAUCUUAAAGGAAACUGUAUCUGCAUAGCAAAACAAAAUGAAACUAACGCUUUUUAACUAACAGCAUGAGUACUUCAGUGUGUGUUACAAGUUGACACCUCCCCUCCCCCCUCUUUGCUGAUACAGCUGAGGUAUGACCUGUUAAAGCCCCUAGCUACAGUAUGUCAGCUGUUCACACAGCAGCAACUUGCUUUUUGCUCUGGAGCCCCCCCCAUGGUGUAGAUGAGGAUUGUGAGUCUUUAGUACAUAAAAAUCCCAUGGCUGGGCUAUAGUGAGCGUCUGUGCUUUCAUGGCUAGGGAAAACAUAGCCAGAUUCCACCCCCCACAUCCCCUCCCCAUCUUAAGUGCUAUCAAAAACGUACAAUGUUAGUCUGACACAUGACUGUAUUUAGCAAGUACCUGCUAGUGAGAGAAAUGCAGAUCUCCAAGUGAUAAGGAGCGUGUUAAUUACACAUCUGAUUGUAUUCGUAUGUACAGCCUGACAAGGAAUUCAGUCAGGCUAACUAAUUAGAAGUGGCAGGUAUUACAAAUUUCCUGUGGUGUCUCGCACUUCUGGAAGCUAGGAAAAUGUUCCAGGGUACAUGGCACAGGUAGUACUACGUGAACAGAUUACUGUUACUGCUCGUUGCGAGGAUUCCUCCACGGAUGUCCAGCCUUCUAGCUACUGGUUGGUCUCACGAGUUGCCACUUGGUGGAUGUUUGAUUACUGCCCAGUAAUCAGCUAACAAAUUAGCAGGAGUUCCCUGAAGUGAUCAGGGCACUCAAAUGCAAAGCAAACUGACUUUCAGCAUAACACCAAUAACAACGCUUUUAACAAUGAGAAUAAUGAGCUUUUAGGUAUAAGCAUGGUGAUUCUGCUUGUUUUUCAGGCUUUUGUUUUUAAGGGAAAUGUGUAAGACUAAGCAUGUGGAGGAUAAGAGGAUGUGAGUAAAACUUAUUUUUAGGAUAUCCGAGAAUCAGACUAAAUCACUUUAUA